rnacentral:rRNA from 1 species
GACGAACGCUGGCGGCGUGCUUAACACAUGCAAGUCGAACGGUAAGGCCCUUCGGGGUACACGAGUGGCGAACGGGUGAGUAACACGUGGGUGAUCUGCCCUGCACUUCGGGAUAAGCCUGGGAAACUGGGUCUAAUACCGGAUAGGACCACUGCCUGCAUGGGUGGUGGUGGAAAGCUUUUGCGGUGUGGGAUGGGCCCGCGGCCUAUCAGCUUGGUGGUGGGGUGAUGGCCUACCAAGGCGACGACGGGUAGCCGGCCUGAGAGGGUGACCGGCCAGACUGGGACUGUGAUACGGCCCAGACUACUACGGGAGGCAGCAGUGGGGAAUAUUGCACAAUGAGCGCAAGCCUGAUGCAGCGACGCCGCGUGAGGGAUGACGGCCUUCGGGUUGUAAACCUCUUUCAGCACCGACGAAGCGCAAGUGACGGUAGGUGCAGAAGAAGGACCGGCCAACUACGUGCCAGCCGCCGCCGUAA